rnacentral:rRNA from 1 species
UACAGAGGUGCCGAGCGUUAGGCGGAAUUACUGGGCGUAAAGCGUGCGUAGGUGGUUGUUUAAGUCUGCUGUGAAAGCCCUGGGCUCAACCUGGGAAUUGCAGUGGAUACUGGGCGACUAGAGUGUGGUAGAGGAUAGUGGAAUUUCCGGUGUAGCAGUGAAAUGCGUAGAGAUCGGAAGGAACAUCAGUGGCGAAGGCGGCUUUCUGGUCUGUAACUGACGCUGAGGCGCGAAAGCGUGGGGAGCAAACAGG